GAUGAACGCUGGCGGCGUGCCUAAUACAUGCAAGUCGAGCGAAUGGAUUAAGAGCUUGCUCUUAUGAAGUUAGCGGCGGACGGGUGAGUAACACGUGGGUAACCUGCCCAUAAGACUGGGAUAACUCCGGGAAACCGGGGCUAAUACCGGAUAACAUUUUGAACCGCAUGGUUCGAAAUUGAAAGGCGGCUUCGGCUGUCACUUAUGGAUGGACCCGCGUCGCAUUAGCUAGUUGGUGAGGUAACGGCUCACCAAGGCAACGAUGCGUAGCCGGCCUGAGAGGGUGAUCGGCCAAACUGGGACUGAGACACGGCCCAGACUCCUACGGGAGGCAGCAGUAGGGAAUCUUCCGCAAUGGACGAAAGUCUGACGGAGCAACGCCGCGUGAGUGAUGAAGGCUUUCGGGUCGUAAAACUCUGUUGUUAGGGAAGAACAAGUGCUAGUUGAAUAAGCUGGCACCUUGACGGUACCUAACCAGAAAGCCACGGCUAACUACGUGCCAGCAGCCGCCGUAA
rnacentral:rRNA from 1 species